CAGUCCCCUCAUCUGGAAAAGGAGGAGGCUGUGGGACAUGAUGAUCUUUGAAAGUCUAAUAAUGAAACAAACAGAAAACCUGUGCUUCUAAGUUGGUGAGUCUGGAAAAGGAGGUCGGACACCUCGGGAACAGGCCUCUUUGUCUCUGUGCGGGCUUGGUGUACAGUUGAUGUCUAGAAUAUAUUAACAGAAGGCUGCCCUGUAGAAGUUUUGAGUUAAUGGUUUCCAUCAACGCAGGAGUGGAAGAAGCUACUGGGGAUCAGGAAUCA
rnacentral:lncRNA from 1 species